UUUAGCUUAGUGGCAUAAGCGCCUGCCUGGCAAAUGCAAAGUCGAAAAUUUGAUCCCCAGUAUGGGAAAAAAUAAAUAAAUAAAAAUGCAUAUACUGUAUUGCUAAGCCAGAAUACAAAGAAGGGAUACACAUGAUCUCAUUGAAAUGAAUAUUUUAUUUUAUUUAUUUUUUGGUACUGGGCAUUGAACUCAGGACCUUGUGUUUUCCAGGCAGGAGCUUGUGCCACUGAGCUAAAUCCCUGGCCCCUUAGUGAUAAUGUUUUAGAUAUAUUGGGUUACAUGAGACAUUAUUAAAAUUAGGUCACUAUUUCUUUUUACUUUUUAUUGUGGCUACUUUAGAAUUCCCCACAUGAACUACACAUGGUGGCACGGAUUUAUAAUCCCAGUGACUGGGGAAGUCAGGUGUCUCCCCCAGGUUUUGUCACAAGAACUAAAUUGGCAGCUGGGCCAAGCACCAAGCAGUGGUGGCUGUGUGCCUGGCCCUCCACUAUGGCCAGUGGGGCCAGGUGAACCUGGACUUUGCAGGGCAGGGUCCAUCUGUGCCCAGCUGCCAUAGCUCAGCAGGCCUUGUGGCUCUGCACUCAGAGAGGCGUCACUCAGUGCCUAGGGAGGUGAGGACAGAGGACAGGCUGUGUGGGCAGCAGGAACAGGACCCUGUGCAGAGACGGAGAAGAGCCUUGGAACAGCAGCCCUGGCCUGCAGCCACAUCCGCAGGCCCACAGGCUGUCACACUCAGGGAGGACUUAAAUCAUUGCCUCGGUCUCUUUCCUCUCUGAGAACCCCAGUUACACAGGAUCUGGAUGAGGGGGACCCCAGCACUGUGCAAAGGGCAGCCACUGGGGUUCAGGUGGGUUGGAGGUGGCCUGCUGCAGAAAUAGCCUGGGAAGCAGGAGAGGUCCUGGGGACUUGCCCAUCUCAUGCAGCUCUGGUGAGCAGGGAGCCCCUUCUCUGGAAGCCUGGCCUCCUUCCAUCUGGGGUGGCAUGAAAAGGCAUCCCCCUACACCCCAUCCCCCCAGGGCUGGGCAGCCUCCUACCGUGGUCCUUUCCCCAGCCUGCUUCAGGAUUAACUCAGGGCUUUUCUAAGGCAGGGAACAGAGCCCUCAGGCCCUCAUGUCCAGAGUGAUGAAACCCAGGGGGCUCAGGUCAGAGGCCCAGAAAGGAGACCCGGGAGCCCAAGAAUAGCAUUCCAGGUGGAGAUGCUGAGAGCCUGUCCGGUCAGAGCACAAGUGAUGAGGGCCAGAGCUCUCUCCUAGGCCUUCUGCAGCGCUCAGCAGUUCCCACAGUGUGGAAAAAUAGGCAGCCAGUGUGGCAGGCGCCUGUAAUCCCAGCACUGAGGAGGCUGAGGCAGGAGGACCGUGAGUUCAAGUCAAGGCUACAUAGUGGGUGUAAGCCCAACCUGGGCCAGACAGCAAGAUCCCGCACUGCCCCCCCCCCACCUCACCCCGCUAAGAAAGAAGAAAGGGAGGGACAAAGAAGAUGGCUUCUCUUGUGCGGUAGAUACGGAAUGUGUAUCCUGGCUGCAUCCCAGCCAGGAAAUUUAUGGCCUACCGGUGACCUUCCACAGGCCCAUCGCGCAGAGGUGGCUAGUGCACCCGGCCUCCCUGCCGCUGUCCUGGACUCUGCGUCGGCCAGGCUGGGCUGCUGGCUAGGAGGAUGGGCUGGGGUCAGCGGAGACCAGCAGCCCGCAGUGCCGCAGACGCAGCCCCAGCCCCCAGUUAGCCUCCUUUGUUUUAUGUCUAAUUAUAAAAGCAAUUCAUACUCCUUGUAAAAUCUGGAAACUAUAGGAAGGUAGAAAAGGAGAAAAUGAGAGCCAUCCGGUUCCGAUUCCGGUUCCGGUUCCGGUUCCCGCAGCCCUGCGCUGUGCAGCCUGCAGCUCGCUGUGACCCGGUGGGCUCUCCCUGCACUGCACUGUCCUGAGCCCUCCUGGAAGCUGUGAGAUUUUCUUUAAAGUAUUUAAUGACUCGCUAAUAGGCUAUUAAUAAUUCACUUAGCCCUUCUAGUUCCUCUGUUCACCCUGCUAAAUUGAUUCUGCCAUAUACAGGGGACUGAACCCACAGCGUUUGCAUCCACACCCCCACACUUUUUUUACUUUUAUUUUUUUGAGACAAUGCCUCACUGUGUAGUGCAGGUUGACCUUGAACUCACUAUGUAGCCCAGGCUGGCAUCCAAUUUAGGGCAAUCUUCCUGUCUCAGCCUCCCUAGUGCUGGGAUCACAGGCAUAUGACACCAUGCCUAGCUAUGGCCUCAGAAUCUUAAAAGGUAGGGCUGGGGAUUUAGCUCAGCGGCAUAAGCGCCUGACUUGCAAGCAGGCAGUCAUGAGUUCGAUCCCCGGUACCGAUAAAAAGUUAAAAAAAAAAAAAAAAAGAAUUUUAAAAGGGCUGGGAUGAAGCUCAGUGGAUUCAAUAUCCAGUACUUCAGGAAUCAGUCACCAGCAUAGUGGUUUACACCUCUAAUCCUAGUACCUGGCAGGCUGAGGCAGGAGGAUCACCAUCAGUUCAAGUCCAGGCUCAACUACAUAGUGUCUCAAAAAACCAAACAAGAGCUUCAAUUUUCCUUUUCAUUCUGUCCUGUGCUGUGAGUUCUCUGAGAACAAAGAUGAGCACUGCUUAUCUUGGAGCCCCCAGUGGCCAGCAGAGCAAUGGGCACAGGGAGAGGGUCCUCAGUGCGUAGAUGAUGGAGGCCAGGUGAACUGAAGGAGCAUCAAGUCCUGCGAGGUGGACUGGGAGUGUUUCUCUGCUUUGCCCCCCUCUCCCUGAGGGCUUGUGUGUUCUCGUCCUCCUUCCCUUCCUCACGGCCAGAACUGACCAUGGGGGAGCUUUAGACUCCCAACCAUGUGACUCCACAGGUCACUUGCCCUCCUUGGUGUCUGGUGUCCCCUGUGUCGGCUGAUGAGGGGCUUGGAUGGCCUUGGACUGGGGCUGGCCACGCAGGGAGCAGAGGGUUGGGAUCCCCAAGACCCUGGCAUCUGACCCGGGUACCUUGCCUGUGCUGUCACUCUGUGCCCCUUCUGCCGCCAAGGGCACACAGUGCAGCUGGGCCCAGCUGGAGGUGGCCCGGCCCCUCUGCAGUGCUGUUCUCUGCCGCCCUGGUGCUCGGCUCCAGGCAGCCUUCAGCAGGCUGCCCAGGAUAGAGCCGGGUGCUCCACUUCCUGUCACUGUUUCCUGGGCUUCCAGGCUUUGUGGCGGGCAGGGAGCUGAGGAUUGAACCCAGGGCUUCUCACUGACCUGCACUACCAACCCUUUGUGUUCUUUUGAUUUUGAGACAAGGUCUUACUGAAUUGCCCAGGCUGGGUUUGAAUUUGUAAUCCUGCCUCAGCCUCCUAGAGUGCUGGGAUUACAGGCAUGGCUUCCAGGCUUUAAAUUAAGGGAAAUGAAAUUGGGCUAAAGCCCUGCAGGUCAGCUAAGAGCACCAAGCGAGAUGACAGAACUGUGUGGCCACUGUCACCCACCCUGCUCAGAUUAUGAUGAUAUAGGGAAAAACUAUGUCACUCCCAACCUGCUAGAUGUUGGACAGGCCGAGUUCAUGUUCCCCAAAGUCAAAGAAUGAAUUCUAAGGACCAGUGGAGGUGAACAGUAGGAAAAUUCACUCUCAGCACUGGGGAGGUUGAGGCAGGAGGAUCACUGCAAGUUUGAGGUCAGUUUGGCUACAGAAUGAGUUCAGGGCCAGGGCUUUAGGAGUUAGCUCAGUAGCCUAAGUGCCUGCCUGGGAAGCACAAGGUCAUGAGUUUGAUCCAAAGGAGUUCAAGGCCAGCCUAGACUACAUAGUGAGACUCGUCUCAAAUAAACAAACAAGAAACCCAGGAAAAUUUAUUGAGGAAUAGGAGUAGGUCCCAAGAGAUAGGAGGGGUCCUGAGUGGGUUACCAAUGAGCCAGUUUCUCAAAGGAAGUUUUAUACAGCAAAGUCACAAGGUGGAUACAACAUGGGUCAAAUCAUAAUCAGCCAGUAAGAUUAAAAGUAGCAGAGCCACUUAACUAAUAUUAAUACAGUAUGGCAAGGGCAUAUGGAAGACAUCAUUAACCUUAGUUGAUAACCUUAGUUGAUAGUCUUAGUCUUAGUGUUAGUUUUAGUGGGUGGCAGAGGAUGGUUCACCCCUAUGAUAUAAUGAUUUAUUUGUAUGGGAAAUCUCAAAAGACUGAUACCAAUAAUGUGAGGCUUCUUCAGGGAAGUAUGUAAAUCUAGCUAUGUAUAAUAUUAAUACAAGACCACUUCUAAAAUGUAGGUAGAAGUGUGGGCUGGGUGUGGUGGCCCACACUUAUAAUCCCAGCCCUUAGGAGGCUGAGGCAGGAGGAUCACUGUGAGUUCAAGGCCAGCCUGAACUGCAUAGUGAACUGUCUAAAAAAGACAAAAAUCCCAAAACAGGUAGGAGCAUGGGCCCUAGCCUGCUCCUGUCCUGCUGGUGUGUCCCUGGAUGUCCACUCGCCCCUCAGGGCUCCUGGGAAGGCCUGCUUAGGUCGCCUAGCCUAACCCUGACUGUGGCCCUCAGCAGCUGCCCCCGGUGUCUCCACCGCCAGCACCCGGGGCCCCAUUUGUCCAUCUGCACCCGGAGCCCGGGAUCCCCCUCAUUACUGCAGCUCAUCAGGAAGAUGAAAUGGGAAGCCAUGAGCCCCACCCGGCCUGCGCGCCUGGCCUGUUCGCAGUGCGGCCUUCUCUGUGUUGGGCAGGAAGGAUUCCUUUGUUGGUUUUUGCUGGCAGAAGCAAAGCCAGGUUGAGGACGUCCCUCACGCCCCAGGCCUCCUGCCCAGGGCUUCUCCUUGCUCAGAUAGGACAGUGGCGCAGGCGGCAGCAGGGUGACCUUCGUCAAGCUAGAAAUGCAUUCCCAGCGUUGCCGGAGGGGGCUGGGGAGGGCUGCGCUGCUGCAGCUGCCACCGGCUGCCCCCAGGCACCAGGCAGCCGAGGUGGGGGCUGGGCUGCAGCUGCAGCUGUGGUCAGGUCCGGCGGGCUGUGCGCUGGGUCUCCCACCCCUGUGGCCAGCAGCUUUGCCCUGGGAUGGGAGCUCCCAGAGAGGCCUACGAAAACACUGUAGGUUUCUUUCUGCCUGUGAGAGUAAUUCUUGUUUAUUAUGGGAAAAAUAAAUUGGAGUACUCAGUAAAAUACAAACCCAGAGCACUCUGCAUCCCUAUCUCUCAUAAAAACAUGUAGGGAACAUUUCUUUUUUGUUGGGGGGUGCUGGGGAUUGAACUUACGACCUUUCAUUUGCUAGGCAGGCACUUAUGCCACUGAGCUAAAUCCAUGGCCCUUAAUGGAAUAUUUCUACCUAAGAGUAGUGGCACAUAUCUGUAGUCCCAGCACUUGGGAGGCUGAGGCAGGAGUAUUGCCAGCCUGGGCUGCAUAGUGAGACCCUGUGUCAAAAAACUGACAAAAAAAUUGUAACAAUUAUACUUUAUUUUAAAACCUUUUUUAUUGGGGGCUGGGGAUUUAGCUCAGCGGCAUAAGCACCUGCCUUGCAAAUAGGCAGUCAUGAGUUUGAUCCCUGGUACCGGUAAAAAACAAAAAGAGAAAAAAAAAUUUUUAAAAAACAACCUUUUUUUAUUGUGAAAUAUGACAUACAGAAAGUACACGUAAAAUAAUUGUAGGGCAAACACCCUUGGAACCAGCAGAUGAGGAUACAGGACUUGGCCAGCUGCCCUCGAAGCCCUGUGUCCCAACUCAGUCACAGCUCUCUGUGUCCAGCCCCCUGACCAUUGUUCAGCUUGUGUGCAGCACUGGGCACGCAACCCCAGCUAAACUAGAGCUGUGACCUGGGCCACAUCCCAGCCCCCAACUUCUGAGACAGUCGCUUUCUUUAUGGUUAUCACUGAAGUGUGCACCCCUAGACUGUAAAUGUACCUUUUUCAUUUUAUUUUAUUUGAGACAGGUUUUCACUAUGUGUUUCAGGCUGGCCUUGUGCUCACUGUGUAGCCCAAACUGGCCUCAAACUCAAGGUGAUCCUCUUGCCUCAGCUUCUAGACUGUGCUGGGAUUACAGGCAUGGACCACCAUAACCAGUGUUGGAGAUCAAAACAAGGGCUUUGAACAUGCCAGGAAAAUGCUCUACCACUGUACGACAUUCCCCAGCCUUUAAAAAAUUCUAUUUUGGAGAGUGUGGAAUGGGGAGAACCAGCAUGGAAACUGAGCCCUGCCUGUGAGCCAGCCUGAAGCCAGGAGUCGGAGCAACUACUUAUUUAGUUAUUUUAUGCUUUUUUUUUCAAUUUUUUUUCACUUUAAGGUUGACAGUAUAUUCUGGAGAUCAUUUAUACGCAGUAUAACAAUAUAUCUCAUUCCUAUCAUAAAAACACGUAUCAUUAUCACACGGAUAAAAUAGUCUUGCCAACAGAGCACUGGCAAGCAUAUGAUUUGGUUUUGGUUUCUUUCUUUUUUUUUUCAAAUCCAUUUUAUUCAGACAUAAAAAGGAAAAAACUACAAUAAAAUUUCAAGGCACAUCAAUCAGGGGGUAACAAUGGUACAUACAUUGCACAUUGUCAUCCCCAAAUCAUUCACCCAGAGCCCAAGACAUCUGCAUUCAAUUGUCUGAACAGCAGCAGCACAAAUCUUUUUCUUCAGUGAACAGUUAACUAUCUUAACUAUUUUUAUAUACACACAUAUAUAUAUAUCCAUACAUAUACAUGUGUUUUUUUAAUUUCAGCUUGUCACACUAAUGAAGCAAUACAAUGUUUACAUAUGUGUGUUAUUUUUUUUUUUUUUUUUUUUGUCUUUUUCCUUUUUAUCGGUACCGGGGAUCAAACUCACGACUGCCUGCUUGCAAGGCAGGUGCUUAUGCCGCUGAGCUAAACCUCCAGCCUCUGAUAUGUGUGUUAUUUAUUUUACUAAUGAGUAUGUCCUCAAGGUGCAUCCAUUUACCUAUAAAAGUGUCCAGUUUUCAUUUUUAUGGCUAAGUAGUAUUCCAUUGUAUAGAAAUAUCACAUAUUUUUUAUCCAUCCUUCAGUCAAUGGGUAUUUAGGUUGUUUCCAAGAUCUGGCUAUUAUAUAAACUGUGCUGCUAUAAACAUGGGUGCACAUAUAUCACUGUGGUAUGGUGUUUUUAAUUCUUUUGGGAAGAUACCCAGAAGGGGAAUAGCUGGGUUGAAAGGGACCUCCAGUCCUAGUUUUUGAGGAAUCUCCACACUGAUUUCCACAGUGGUUGCACCAGUCUGCAUUCCUACCAACAGUGGAGAAGGGUUCCUUUUGUCCCCACAGCCCCUCCAGCAUUUGUUAUUGGUUGAUUUCUUAAUACUAGCCAUUCUUUCUGGGGUGAGGUAGAAUUCAGUGUUGUUUUAAUUUGCAUGUCUUGAAUGACCAGUGAGGUUGAACAUUUUUCAUGUAUUUAUUUGCUAUUUGUAUUUCUUCAUCAGAAAAGUGUGUAUUCAUCUCAGGUGCCCGUUUUUGGAUUGGGCUGGGCAACUACUUAGAGGACAGAAUAUGCAGUAUAGUAAGGAUUGUAGGCUUCCUACCAUCUUAUCACUGUUUUGUUUCAUUUUAUUGUUUUGUUUCCUUUAAAAUAAGAAUAAAUACAUAAAUUAAAAAUUUGUUUUGGGGGCUGGGGAUUUAGUUCGGUGGCAUAAGUGCCUUGCAAGCAGGCAGUCGUGAGUUCGAUCCCUGGUACCCAUAAAAGACAAAAAAAUAAAAUAAAAUAAAAAUACAUUUUAAAAAA